GGUUUAAGUAAAUAAACAGCAAGAAAUAUAUGCGAGUAUGAUAUAUCCACUCUAACCAAGAGAUAUCAUGAAAUUAGCCAAAGAUAAUAGAAUAGCAGAAAUUUGAUCAAAAUACUUGGAAAUGGCUCCGCCCUGUCAUUCUCUUAAUUUCAUUGGCUUAAUACGAAUUACAUUACAUAAAUUUACAGUUCCAGUAAAGUGAUCUAUAC
rnacentral:misc_RNA from 1 species